UGGAUGAAGGAAACAAGGCAUUAGGAUUGAAUGUAAAUAAGGUGUGUAGAUGUGACUGGAGCUUACAGUGCUCUAAAGACGGAGCUUAACAUAAGCUUGACAGCAAUAGGCCUUUUGUGGACUACAACUGGCUUUAUUGCAAAGAGGAUUACACAUGGACCUGUGGAAGAAAGGGAAACAAGAAAGGGAAACAGGUAUAUGACAAGUGCACAACAAAUGGACUCACAACAAAGACAAGUGCACAAAGGAUGAUGAAUUGAAGGAUGGAGCAAGUUUCAUGCAUGGUUUACUUUUGUGUAUCUUGUAAUUUUUUGUUUUUCAUUUUUGAAGUAAAAAAUGUUCAAGAUUAUAAUACUUUAUUAUGUUAUGCUUUCAAACUUAAGUUAGAACUAAGAUCUCAUGAAAUAGACACAUUCAGAGUUUGAAUUAGUUAUUGUUUAAUGUAAUACUUAUGGUUUAUCAAUCUAUUGAGAAUUAUAUUUUAUGAUUAA